UUGCACUGACAAGUGACCUCUGUGUCUUUCCCAUGGCAUGAGGGAAUCGCUUGAUGGUGCUAGAUCAAAUCCCUUCUUGGAGAAAGGCCAGGCUUUCUUGUAGCCUGCCCCUUCUGAAAGUUGGGUACAAAA